UUUUUUUUUUUUUUUUUUAACUUCAAGGCUGAGAUUCUUAAUCCUAGUACUCUAGACGUCAUAUUCCAGUGAUCAGAUGCAGAAUCCAUAAGUGCUCUGACAGGUCUUAUCAUUAUGUGUGGUGUUUUCACUUAGUGAGUGCCCUUGUUUUGUCAGUUCAAGGUGGCUUGCUUAGUUACUUUAUUGUAAUGUUCAAUGGCUAAACUUUAAACAAAAAUCAAUAAAGGGCAAGGAAUGAGUUUGCAAAAACUAUCAGCCACUUCCCUCAAUUUAAUUGUAAAAUCAAUCAAAUCUGUUUUUUGGCACAGUGCAAGGAAAACAUCUAUUUGUCCAAUAAACUGUCUCAUUGAUUAAAUGGUUCAUUUGGAAGAGAUAACAAAAGUCUAAGAUUUUAAUCUCAAGGAAAAAUGUAUCUUGCAAACAUGUUUUCAAGAUCCUGAGAUCAUAUUAUUUUCCUUUAAGGAUUUGCUUCAUCCCAGGUGUUCAUCUAAUCCUACUUUUGCUAUUUUUAAUCAUUAUUCAUCUAUGUAAAAUGGAAAAUCUAUUUAGAUGCUUAAAAGUCAACGUAAGCUCACAAACCUGAAUUUCAGCAACUAAAAAGGGAGAAGUAAUAAUGAUUCAGUUCUUACUGGGAGCUACUUUAUACACUAUUUUAUUUGGACCUCAUAACAACUAUAUGAGAGAGAACUGUGCACUCUCUGCCAGGGGUUAGGGUUAACAUAAAGCCAAAACCCAGGCAGGUCACGAAAAUGAGCAAAGCAGGCCAGUUAUGAGUGCUGUCACCUUACAAGGAGGUGGAAACAAUGUUUCCGGAUCCUGUUUCUUAAGAGAAGCCAAAAGAUUUACGUAAAGUCUCCUGAUUUUUUUUCAAUGGUGGUAAUUGAUUAAAAUAAAUAUUUCCAAUACUGUAUGUACUGAAUAAAGAAAAUUUGGGGCUGACCCUGGCCCAGCAACUGCCACUUAGCAAUGUCUGGUAUUGAAGUGAAAAUAAGGCUCAGGGCUGGGCACGGUGGCUCAUGCCUGUAAUCCUAGCACUUUAGGAGGCCAUGGUGGGCAGAUUGCUUGAACCCAGGAGUUCCAGACUAGCCUGGGCAACAUGAUGAAAUCCUGUCUCUACAAAAAGUACCAAAAAAAAUCAGCCAAGCAUGGUGGCAGGCACCUGUAGUCUCAGCUACUUGGGAGGCUGAGGUGGGAGGAUUGCUUGAGUCCAGGAGGCCGAGGUUGCAGUGAGCUGAGAUUACACUACUACACUUCUGCCUGGGCAACAGAGCAAGACUCUGUCUCAAAAAGAAAAGGCUCAGGAAGGUGACAUCACUAUGCUAAUUCAAGGAGGAAUGAAAGAGUGACCUCAUGGGACAGUAGAUCAGAGAAUGUUCUACCUGGUGGCCAGCCUAUUUGUGGGGAGGGGUCCCUAAGAAGAGGCUGUAUGCUGGCUUGGGUUAUGGAGGGCCAAAGCUCAGGGGCCUGGGGGAAGGAGAGAAGCUUAACCAAAGUUUGGCUAACAGGCAUUUUGUUCUGAUUGAUCAGUGGUGACAAGCAGUUCAGCUAGUCAUUUAGGAGGUCAAAAACAGAAGACUGGAAGAUCCCUAUCUAGUUUUGUCAUCAGUAGACAAAGGGGCACUCAUGAAACUUGUCUAAGUCAUACGGGGAAGGGUGGCCCCUUGCAGUAAGUCAUUUUCCAGAACGUAAAAGGGCAAUGGGCUUUCUUAACCUUCAGGUAAAAUUCCACUUUGUCAAAACAUAAGCAUGAUGUAGACAAAGGUUGAGAGUGAGAUCAGGCUUAUUGCCCAGUCUUAAGCCAUUUAAACCCAAGGUGGACUUUCCCCUCAGGAAAGAAGGGAAGGAAAGAAGCUAGGAAGGCCCUGGCUAGGUUCUGUGUGGGUUGGGGAAUGUGAAUCCUGAUGGAGCAGCCUAAAGAAGUCAAGCAGUCCUGUAGCAGCAGCCGUGGGGGAGGUUCCUCCUGGGAGUGGAGGAGGGCGAGUGCUGCAGGUCCAUCAGUGGAAAUGGGAAUGGACCAUUAGGCGGAGAAGACUUAUCGAAGCUGCGAAGUCCAAGAUCAAGGUGCCAGCAGAUUCUGUUCCUGGUGAAGGCUAUCUUCCUGUUUUGCAGGUGGCUACCUUCUCGCUGUGUCCUCAUAUGGUGGAGAGUGAGACUUCAUCUAAAAAGAAAAAAAAAAACCCACUCCGGACAUAGUGACUGUAGCUGGGUCUUGGACUGCAAGAAGACCAUCCUGGUGAGAAGAUCUUGACCACAGGUGAUAUUCACCUUGGAUAAAAAACAUUCUGAUAAUUCAGAAUGUUUGUGCAAAUAAGAUUUCUAACCCAGUUCUAUGGAGGUAUAAUUUAUAUAUGGUAAAAUUCACCUCUUUAGGUAUUCAGUUUAUGAAUUUUGAGAAAUGCAAUCACCAGCCACUACAGUGAAGAUUCAGAACAUUUCCAUCACCCCAGAAAGCCUCCUAGUGACCCUUUGGAGUCAGUCCCCUCCCCUCAGCCUGAGCUCCUGGUGACCAGUGAUCUGAUUUCUAUCCAUGUACUUCUCCCUUUUCCAGAGCAUCACCUGAGUGGAACCGCACAGUAUUCCACCACAGUAUUUUGCAUCCGACUUCUUUUCCUUGGCAUGUGCUUUUGAGAUUCAUCCUUUGCUGUUAUAUUAUCAGUGGUUUGUUCCUUUUUGUGGAGAGUAUUUUAUUGUUUGGAUAUACCACAGUGUGUUUAUUAGUUUAUCGCCAGUAGAUGGACAUUUGUAUUGUUUCCUGUUUCUGGCUGUUAGGAAUAAAGUUAAUAUAAAUAUAAAAAAAAAAAAACCCAAUAAAACAAGAAGCUAGAAAGUUGCUAGUUUUCAGUAGAGGGGGACAGGCUGCUGUAGAAGCUCAGGACUGCUCUGCUUUUGGCACCCAAAGGUGAGAGUGUUUUGCUGAAGGCAGCAGCUGUGAGGAGUGACAACUCCACCAAAGUCAAGGAAGCAGGUGUAGAACAGGCAGGUCAUAGGUGGCAAUCUGUGGUCCUAAAAUACCCUGGAAAAGACCGGGAGCCCUUACAGGAUUGAGAAACCAAGAGAAAAUGUGGGGCAAAAAAAUUCCUCAGGUUUCAUUCACAGUCAUCCCCACAGCCAUCUUAAGUCAUCAAGAAAGAUUCGGAAAAGCUCCGAGAAUCAGCAGAUGGGGGCUAGUGCAAAAUAAUACUUUUUGUCUUAAUUAUUAGUAAUCUCAAUCCCUCACUCAAUUCUUAGGUUGAUGCCUGGGAGGUAAUAUUUACUACCUUGCAUUUCCAUAAAUGGUGACCUUUUUUAUAUGGAUGUUGGACACCAGGGAAUGCUCUUAAGUUAACUGCAUUUCAUCAGAUCCCCCUACUAUUUAAAUUGAUCUUAUUUCUAUCAUUUCACCUCAAGAUUUAUUGUUCUUAUCUUACAUUCUAAAGAACUGAGGGCUGUCUUUGAAGUGGAUAUGAAAAGUUUCACCUCAGUCUACCAAUAUAUCAUUGAAAGUUUAAAAUAACAAAUACAAGAACAAAAAUACUCUCCACUUGUCCAAGCAUCCCAGGAGGUCUCUGUAUUGUUUAAAUUACUUCUGAGUUUAAAUUGCAAUUGCUCUAGUAAAUUAGCUAACAUCUGCUGUCUGCCUGAUGAUGAAGACCACCCUACUAGAAACCAAAUACACUCUUUGCUUGAGUCAUUUAUUUACUAUCCAGGACAACACUGACUCACAGCAGUAUAAUAUGAGCCACAUUUUAUUUUAAAUGUUGUAAUAGUAACCACAUUUUAAAAAGUGGGAACAGAUAAAAUUAAUUUAAUAAUACAUAUUUAGCUCAGUUUAUCAAAAGUAUAAUUUCAAUACAUAAUCAAUAUAAAAAUUAUUAUUAUUAUUUUGAGAUGGGAUCUUGCUCUGGCACCCAGGCUGGAGUGCAGUGGAGCUCACUGUAACCUCAACCUCCUGGGCUCAAAUGAUCCUUCUGUCUCAGCCUCCUGAAUAGCUGGGACCACAGGCACACAUCACAAUCCUGGCUAAUUUUUUAAUUCAACUUUUCUUUUCUUUUUUGAAAUGGAAUUUCACUCUUGUUGCCUAGGCUGGAGUGCAAUAGCACAAUCUCAGCUCACCGCAACCUCCACCCCCCGGGUUCAAGCAAUUCUCCUGCCUCAGCCUCCUGAGUAGCUGGGAUUACAGGCAUGAGCCACCACUCCUGGCUAAUUUUGUAUUUUUAGUAGAGACGGGGUUUCUCCAUGUUGAUCAGGCUGGUCUCGAACUCCCAACCUCAGGUGAUCCGCCCACCUUGGCCUCACAAAGUGCUGGGAUUACAGGUGUGAGCCACCGUGCCUGGCCUUAUUUAACUUUUUAAUUUAAUUUUUUAUUAAUUAUUUUUUUAUUUAAUUAUUUUAUUUAGAAAUUUUUAUGUAGAGAUGAGGUCUCACUAUGUUGCCCAGACUGGUCUCUAACUCCUGACCUCAAGUGAUCCUUCUGCCUCAACCUUCCAAAGUGCUGGGAUCAUAGGUAUGAGCCACCACACUCAGCCAAUACAAAAAUUAUUAAUGAGAUAUUUUAUAUUCUUUUGUCUUCAUACUAAGUCUUCAAAAUUAUGUGUGUAUUAUAAUCUUAUAGCACAUCUCAAUUUGGACCUGCUACUGAAGGAGAUUAGCCACCCCAAAAUAUGCCACUUUGGCAAAACGAUUAUUUUGAGCUGAAAGCAAUUAUGAAUUAACAGACGCUGGAAGGAGGUCUCUGCCCUCUCCUUAUCUGCCUAAAAUCAGAGCAUAAACUUCCCUUGGUGCAGGUCCCCUCUCCAACCCUCCCCUGCCAGGAAAGGAAGAAUGACUAUUAUCAUUGGAGAGGAGGAGUCAACACUGAGAUGAGUUUGCACAAACAGAACUUACUAAAAUAACCUUUACCUUCCAUUGGUUCUCUCAUCAUUUUGUAGUUACUUCCCUAUGAUUUACCAUCCUUUGAAGCCCAAACUCUUUUCUCUUUGUUAAAAUGGUAUAUAAGCCCUCAAGUCUAACUGCUUCUUUGAGUUUCACUUCUAUUAUGUGAACUCCCAUGCACAUAACUAUUAAUAAACAUUGUGUGCCUUUUCUCUUAUUAAUCUGUCUUUUGUUAGUUUAAUUUAUUUAACUUAAGAAGAUGGAGGAAAAGUUUUUCUUCCCCAUCACUACAUUUCAAGUGCUUAAUAGCCACAUAAAGCUAGUGGCUAUAUAUUAGACAAUGCAGGUCUAGGAGAAUAUGUAGCAUAAAUCAUUUCUAAUCUACACUUUAUUUUUUUUUCUUAUGCAAAACCUAUUUUUGUCAGUACUUUUUCCAUGGUUGCAGAAAAUCAGCAUAAACAGUGUUACAUUUUAGCAGCUACCAGCAAUUAGUAACGUAAUGGAGUCUGUAAUACUUUAGUUUUAUAUUCUUGAAGGUUUCAGAGCAUGAGAAAAAGACCAGUCCUUUCCCAAAUUUCUUCGUACUUUGGUCCUGAAAAAGCUAUUACUAAUAGUUCUGCAAAGUGAAAAAAAGUAAAUCUCAAUUUAAAAAUUACACGUGGUUUUAAAAACAAAUAAAUACAAAACGAGACUAUAUCAAAAAGCCAGGCACGGUGGCUCAAACCUGUAAUCCCAGCACUUUGGGAGGCUGAGGUGGGUGGAUCAUGAGGUCAGUUGUUCAAGACCAGCCUGGCCAACAUGGUGAAACCCCAUCUCUACUAAAGAUACAAAAAUUAGCUGGGUGUGGUCAUAGGCACCUGUAAUCCCAGCUACUCAGGAGGCUGAGGCAGAGAAUUGCUUGAACGUGGGAGGCAGAGACUGCAGUGAGCCGGGUUGUGUCACUGCACUCCAGCCUGGGCGACAGAGCGACAGAGUGAGACUCCUUCUCAAAAAAAGAAAGACUAAAUCAAAGUAAGAAUUCACUUUGUACUUUGCUGGAAUUUUCUAUUCUGUAGUCAAUGGUGGUUUCUAGUAGUGCAGGGUAGGGAAACUCCAGAGCCCAACUAAAAUAACCACAUGUUCUGAAGUUAAUUAAAAGUAUAAAUUAGUGUUAUAAAUAGCAAGAUGUCCCAUUCAAUGGUUUUAAUUAUUUUACUUCUUUGAAACAACA
rnacentral:lncRNA from 1 species